CAAGCAUUUAAAGAUCCUGAGACCUCAUCCUCUGAGACGAUCACCAUGUUCGCUGUGAAAGCAGUUUGCCUCAUCGCCAUUGUCGCUAUGCUUGUUGCAAUGGUGGCAGCGGGCGCUCCAAAUAUGAGAAUCUGCCCUCCAAUGAUGGGCAAGUGUUUUGACUAUAAUGGAUGAAGAGAUGUCAAGCAUCCACUGAAGACUUUAAUCACUAAAAAUCCUGUGUAGUCAAAUUUUAAUAAAGUAGUCAUGCAUACCUA